rnacentral:rRNA from 1 species
AACGUAGGAGACAAACGUUAUCCGGAGUUACUGGGCGUAAAGGGCGCGUAGGCGGCUUUUCAAGUGACGGGUGAAAUCCCUCGGCUUAACCGAGGAACUGCCUGUCAGACUGGAAGGCUUGAGACCGGGAGAGGUGAGUGGAAUUCCCAGUGUAGCGGUGAAAUGCGUAGAUAUUGGGAGGAACACCAGUGGCGAAGGCGGCUCACUGGACCGGAACUGACGCUGAGGCGCGAAAGCGUGGGGAGCAAACAGG